rnacentral:tRNA from 1 species
GAGCCGACAUGGUGUAGUGGUUUGAGUGUUGGACUAUGACUCUGGAGACCAGGGUUCAAUUCCCAGCUUGACUCU